CCACCGAACAAACUACCCAAUUCCUACUUCCAUGAUUCCAUCGACAUAACCAGUAAACCAUUUUCUUUCCCUUCAUCUUCUUCCAUGUUUUGUUCGUCGAUGGGAAAUGAAGACUUCAGAAAGUUCUUUUUUCCAUUCCACAGAUUAGUCCUCAAAUCAACGCCCCAAUCCCUCUUCCACACAGACUUUAAUGAUUUAGGUUAGACAAUUUUGGAUUCUGCAUGUGAUGGUUAUUAAUUUUGUACUCCGUGUUGAGUACUUGGUGGAAAAUCCCAAAUCAAAUUAGUUCCAGAGAUCGUGUCUUCCAAUAUGGAAUUUCUACUCAGAGGAAACAAAUGCAAUUACAGGAUCAACACAACAGGUUGUGGAUAAUGUAACUGGUGAUAUCUUUCUCAAAGAGAUGGUGAGGAUGGAUGAAUUUCAUUCAACAGGUAUGGUCGAUGUUUUAUUAUGUCUAUAAACGAACAUGGAAAAAAAAGUUAGCGAAAAGACAAAUCAAUGAAAGGUAUGAAACUAACAGUAGAGAUUAUAUGGGUUUUACUUCACAAUGUCAUUUGGAAUUAUUCUCCUUAAAUAGAAAGAGCGUAGUUAGAACUAUCUGUUUGUUUUAUUGGAGAAGCUUAUAAUAAAGAAGAUCGGGAUUUCUAAAAUUCUAAGAACAGUACUCUGAAUGUUUGUAGAUUUUCGGUACGAAAACUGGAUGAAUGGAUGAAACUUAAUAUGGAUGCCAAAUAAGUAUUUUUGGUCGAUAGUACUGGGCAACAGACGUUCGAUGAAUGCUCUGUUUAAGAUGUAAUCUCCCUUUGUACAGUUAUAUGGAACUUUCUCUAAGGUUUAUGAAAUGAGUUUGGAUUCAAUAAGCUGCAAAAGCUACUCAUUUCCCAUUCACCUCGGCACGAUAUGUACAUAGAACGACAUGAAAGAAUUCCAAAGAAG